rnacentral:rRNA from 1 species
UACGUAGGUGGCAAGCGUUUGUCCGGAUUAUUGGGUUUAAAGGGUGCGUAGGCGGCCCUGUAAGUCAGUGCUGAAAUAUCCCGGCUUAACCGGGAGGGUGGCAUUGAUACUGCGGGGCUAGAGUACAGAUGAGGUAGGCGGAAUUGACGGUGUAGCGGUGAAAUGCUUAGAUAUCGUCAAGAACACCUAUAGCGAAGGCAGCUUACUAGGCUGUAACUGACGCUGAGGCA